AGCGAACGCUGGCGGCAGGCCUAACACAUGCAAGUCGAGCGGCCGUAGCAAUACGGCAGCGGCAGACGGGAGAGUAACACGUGGGAACGCGCCCUUCGGUUCGGAAUAACUCAGGGAAACUUGAGCUAAUACCGGAUACGCCCUUACGGGGAAAGAUUUAUUGCCGAAGGAACGGCCCGCGUCCGAUUAGCUUGUUGGUGGGGUAACGGCUCACCAAGGCGACGAUCGGUAGCUGGUCUGAGAGGAUGACCAGCCUCACUGGGACUGAGACACGGCCCAGACUCCUACGGGAGGCAGCAGUGGGGAAUAUUGGACAAUGGGCGCAAGCCUGAUCCAGCCAUGCCGCGUGGGUGAUGAAGGCCCUAGGGUUGUAAAGCCCUUUCAGCGGGGAAGAUAAUGACGGUACCCGCAGAAGAAGCCCCGGCUAACUUCGUGCCAGCCGCCGCCGUAAAAC
rnacentral:rRNA from 1 species